UUAUACAACCUCAACUCAUAUGGGACUACCCCCUGAAUUUAAGCAUAUUAAUUAGGGGAGGAAAAGAAACUAACAAGGAUUUUCUUAGUAGCGGCGAGCGAAAAGAAAUCAGUUCAGCACUAAGUCACUUUGUCUAUAUGGCAAAUGUGAGAUGCAGUGCCAUGGAACAUCAAUAUUCUAGUAUGAGAAAUUAACGAUUUAAGUCCUUCUUAAAUGAGGCCAUUUACCCAUAGAGGGUGCCAGGCCCGUAUAACGUUAAUGAUUAUUAGAUGGUGUUUCCAAAGAGUCGUGUUGCUUGAUAGUGCAGCACUAAGUGGGUGGUAAACUCCAUCUAAAACUAAAUAUAACCAUGAGACCGAUAGUAAACAAGUACCGUGAGGGAAAGUUGAAAAGAACUCUGAAUAGAGAGUUAAAUAGUACGUGAAACUGCUUAGAGGUUAAGCCCGAUGAACCUGAAUAUCCGUUAUGGAAAAUUCAUCAUUAGACUUGUAAUAUUUAAACAAUAUUAUAAUAAUAGUGUGCAUUUUUUCCAUAUAAGGACAUUGUAAUCUAUUAGUUAAAAAUAAUUUAUCAAAAAAUUUUAGAUAAAAGUUUAUUUAAAUUAAAAUGCUUGCAUUUUAACAUAAAAUAAAUGUCUUUAAUUUGAUAAAGUGCUGAUAGAUUUAUAUGAAUACAGUGCGUUAAUUUUUCGGAAUUAUAUAAUGGCAUGAUUAUCAUUGAUUUUUGUGUUUAUUAUAUGCACUUGUAUGAUUAACAAUGCGAAAGAUUCAGGAUACCUUCGGGACCCGUCUUGAAACACGGACCAAGGAGUCUAACAUAUGUGCAAGUUAUUGGGAUAAAAACCUAAUAGCGUAAUUAACUUGACUAAUAAUGGGAUUAGUUUUUUAGCUAUUUAUAGUUAAUUAACACAAUCCCGGGGCGUUCUAUAUAGUUAUGUAUGAUGAUAUUUAUAUUAUUUAUACCUCUAACUGGAACGUACCUUGAGCAAAUAUGCUGUGACCCGAAAGAUGGUGAACU
rnacentral:rRNA from 1 species